UAGCUGUUUGGCUGACAGGAAAGCGGAUGUUUUGAAAACAUCUUAUACAGGUUCGAAUCCUAUAACAGUUU
rnacentral:tRNA from 1 species